UACGGGGGGAGCAAGCGUUACUCGGAAUUACUGGGCGUAAAGGGCGCGUAGGCGAUUCUAUAAGUCUUGUGUGAAAGCCCAGAGCUUAACUCUGGAAGUGCAUGAGAUACUGUAGGAUUUGAGUUCCGGAGAGGAAGAUGGAAUUCCCGGUGUAGCGGUGAAAUGCGUAGAUAUCGGGAGGAACGCCGGUGGCGAAAGCGAUUCUCUGGCCCGUCCCUGACACUGAGGCGCGAGAGCUAGGGGAGCAAACAGG
rnacentral:rRNA from 1 species